AAUGAACGCUGGCGGCAGGCCUAACACAUGCAAGUCGAACGGCAGCAUCGUAUCUGCUUGCUCACACGGGCGUAGCGUGGCGGAACGUUCCCGUAUAUUUCGGAUUACUCUUUUUCGUGGGUGCUAAUACCGGAUAAUUUACGCUAACACAGCAUACGUCGCCCGGGUGUAAGCCGGCGAUCUACUAGCCUGUUGGUAGGGUAAGAGCCGAUGUCGGAUUAGCUAGUUGGCGGGGUAAAGGGCCACCAAGGCGACGCUCCGUAGCUGGUCUGAGCGGAUGAUCAGCAACACUGGAACUGGGACACGGUCCAGACUCCUACGGGAGGCAGCAGUGGGGAAUAUUGGACAAGGGGCGCAAGCCUAAUCCAGCCAUACCGCGUGGGUGAAGAAGGCCUACGGGUUGUAAAGCCCUUAUGUUGGGAAAGAAAAGCGGCAGGUUAAUACCCCGCUGUUCUAACGGUACCCAAGGAAUAAGCACCGGCUAACUUCGU
rnacentral:rRNA from 1 species